UGCAGACACAAACCAAACACACCCUCAUUUCCCACAAUUUCUGAGUCCCGUAGCCUCCACAGCCCAUUACCACCAUAUUGCGUCGCCGGCCUUUCGCCUCCUCGCGUCACCGCCUUCCGUCGUGGACUUCCUGCCUUUCGUCGCCGUCUUCCAUCUCAGGUUUAUUGAGCCUUGCAACUAGUAGAGGAGAGAGAGAAUGGCCGCCAAAUCAAUGGAUUUUGCUAUGGGAAGCCAUCCAUUACCAAGUUGUUUUGCUUCAAAAUCAUCUAAAGUUGGGGCUUUCACCGUCAGAUGCUCUUCCGUUACUCAUCCCACUGGUGGUGCCACCAUUGGGGAAAGACCUUGGAAGGUAGCAAACACCAGACUUGUGCUUGAAGAUGGUUCAAUUUGGAUGGCUAAGUCAUUUGGUGCUUCAGGAACCCAAGUUGGUGAAGUGGUCUUCAACACAUCUUUAACAGGGUAAGAUUAUUGUUGUUAUUAUUAUU